rnacentral:rRNA from 1 species
AACGUACGCUGGCGGCACGCCUAACACAUGCAAGUCGAACGAAGUAGCAAUACUUAGUGGCAGACGGGUGAGUAACAUGUGGGUAUCUGCCCUUUGGCCUGGAAUAACACGAGGAAACUUGUGCUAAUACCGGAUAAGUCUUUACGGAGAAAGCUUUAUGCACCAUUGGAUGAGCCUGCACUUGAUUAGUUUGUUGGUGGGGUAAUGGCCUACCAAGACUGUGAUCAAUAGCUGAUUUGAGAGGAUGAUCAGCCACAUUGGGACUGAGACACGGCCCAAACUCCUACGGGAGGCAGCAGUGGGGAAUCUUGCACAAUGGAGGAAACUCUGAUGCAGCGAUGCCGCGUGAGUGAAGAAGGCCCUUGGGUUGUAAAGCUCUUUCGUCGGGGAAGAAAAUGACUGUACCCGAAUAAGAAGGUCCGGCUAACUUCGUGCCAGCAGCCGCGGUAAUACGAAGGGACCUAGCGUAGUUCGGAAUUACUGGGCUUAAAGAGUUCGUAGGUGGUUGAAAAAGUUAGUGGUGAAAUCCCAGAGCUUAACUCUGGAACUGCCAUUAAAACUUUUCAGCUAGAGUAUGAUAGAGGAAAGCAGAAUUUCUAGUGUAGAGGUGAAAUCCGUAGAUAUUAGAAAGAAUACCAAUUGCGAAGGCAGCUUUCUGGAUCAUUACUGACACUGAGGAACGAAAGCAUGGGUAGCGAAGAGGAUUAGAUACCCUCGUAGUCCAUGCCGUAAACGAUGUGUGUUAGACGUUGGAAAUUUAUUUUCAGUGUCGCAGCGAAAGCGAUAAACACACCGCCUGGGGAGUACGACCGCAAGGUUAAAACUCAAAUGAAUUGACGGGGACCCGCACAAGUAGUGGAGCAUGUGGUUUAAUUCGAAGAUACGCGCAGAACCUUACCAACACUUGACAUGUUCGUCGCGACUUUAAGAGAUUAAAGUUUUCGGUUCGGCCGGACGAAACACAGGUGCUGCAUGGCUGUCGUCAGCUCGUGUCGUGAGAUGUUGGGUUAAGUCCCGCAACGAGCGCAACCCUCACUUUUAGUUGCCAUCAUUAAGUUGGGCACUCUGAAAGAACCGCCAGUGAUAAGCUGGAGGAAGGUGGGGAUGACGUCAAGUCCUCAUGGCCCUUACGUGUUGGGCUACACACGUGCUACAAUGGUAUCUACAACAGGAAGCAAGACUGCGAGGUCAAGCAAAUCCUUAAAAGAUACCUCAGUUCGGAUUGCACUCUGCAACUCGAGUGCAUGAAGCUGGAAUUACUAGUAAUCGUGGAUCAGCGUGCCACGGUGAAUGCGUUCCCGGGUCUUGUACACACCGCCCGUCACACCAUGGGAGUUGGUUCUACCUUAAGGCAAGGUUUCAAACCCUUGACCACGGUAUAGUCAGCGACUGGGGUG